rnacentral:rRNA from 1 species
GCGACCCCAGGUCAGGCGGGGCCACCCGCUGAG